rnacentral:rRNA from 1 species
UGGGCGAAAGCCUGAUGGAGCAACGCCGCGUGAGUGAAGAAGGUUUUCGGAUCGUAAAGCACUGUUGUUGGUGAAGAACGAUAGAGGUAGUAACUGGCCUUUAUUUGUCGGUAAUCAACCAGAAAGUCACGGCUAACUACGUUCCAGCAGGCGCGGUAAUACGUAUGUGGCAAGCGUUGUCCGGAUUUAUUGGGCGUAAAGCGAGCGCAGGCUGACUCAUAAGUCUGAUGUGAAAGCCCUCGGCUUAACCGGGGAAUUGCAUCGGAAAC